UUUUCUUUGAAAGGACGUCUGGGAGGCCUGGGGUGGCUGCAGGCCGCCCACGGCGGACUGUGGUUUACAAGCAGGGCAGCCUCGGGAGCAGGAGGUCCCCACAGGCUCCUGCCAGCUGGGUCUGCAGGGCCUCCCGGGUCUGGGUCUUGGGGCGGGAAAGUCUCUCUCUCGCCCAGCCACAUGCAACCACCUGCCUAGGGGAAGCCCAGGCCCCACUACAAAGGGGCUUGAGGGGAGGAGGCUGCAGCCUGAGAGUCCUGUCUCCUUGACAUUCAGAGGAAACGCAGCAAUCCCUUGAAGAUCUCCGUGUGUCAGCGGACUGGUGGGGCCCUUAGGGGCACAGGCCCGGGCACCCACCUGACUCUCGAGCGGCAUGUUGUACACCUCCGAGUCCAGCAGCAUGGUGCAGGCGCUGAACGGCACUGCCUGGUUCGCGAUGGUCCUCGCCGCCCGGCAGUGAACCCGCAGGAUCUCCUGUUCGCAGGAGACGAUCAGCUUUUCCUGGAGGAGAGGGGCUGGUGAGCUGGGACCCCCCCCGGGCCGGUGCCCUGCAGGAGAGGGGCUGGUGAGCUGGGACCCCCCCCGGGCCGGGUGCCCUGCAGGAGAGGGGCUGGUGAGCUGGGAGCCCCCGCGCCGGUGCCCUGCAGGAGAGGGGCUGGUGAGCUGGGACCCCCCCCCGGGCCGGUGCCCUGCAGGAGAGGGGCUGGUGAGCUGGGAGCCACCGGGCCGGGUGCCCUGCAGGAGAGGGGCUGGUGAGCUGGGACCCCCCGGGCCGGUGCCCUGCUCCCGCGGCCGCCCGCUUACCCGCUCGAUGCUGUGCUGCAGGCGCAGCUUCCCACGCACGGCCUCCUGCUGCUUG